AAAAACAUGAGGGAACACAUGACUUGAAAGGAAUCAUAAAAGGUCGCACUCAUAUAAAACCAAUACAGAGAAUUUUAUUUAUUUUUGUUUAGAAGAUAGAAAAGAGUUUGUUUUUUCUCUUUUGUCCACGUUUUAGCAAAGAAGGGAAACAAUGGGAAGCACUUUGGUGAAAGACCUCAUGGUUCAGUGGAAGAUGGUAAUGGUGAGUCAUUGUUAACUUGGAACAUUAAUCGUAAAUGAUUUUCAUAUUUCACAUUUAUAAUAUCAAUAACUGCUACUUUAGAUCUUCAAUGGAAAUUUUGAGGGCAUCAGGAUCUGGGAUUGCUGCAUUGCUCGUAGCUGUUUCCAAUUAUAAAGUUUCCAAGAGAGGUGUUACAUACCAUUCACCCUGAACUUUGUCACUUUUCAGAGUUUAUAAGUUAUUUUUAAAUACUCAAUUGGUUUGUCACCACUUGCAAUAUCGCUUUCUGAUUUGAAUAGAUUCUUGCAUAUCAGUUGACAGCAAGUAACGCAGGUAAAGGUAAUGAUGUGUAAAACCUGAGAUCUUACAAAUACUUCUUUUAGAGAGUUUACUAUCAACAAGAGUUGCAGUGCCCUUAAUUCUAAAUAACAAGAAUUGCGACAAAAAAUUAUUUGUGUAAAUGUUGCACAUGAAUUGUGCCAAUCCUUGAUUCCGCCAAGAAACAUUAAAAGCUUUUCAAUCAUUGAGCUCAUUAUUGAAAAAAUCAAUAUGGGUUUCUCAAUCAUUGAGUUCAUUAUUGACACUGAAGACUUCAAAGAAAAUUAAACAACAGCCAAGAAGCUCAACACCAACAGAGAAAAACGAAAAUUUCAAAGAAAGAAAAAUAUGAGU
rnacentral:lncRNA from 1 species